GUAGUUACAUAAGAACAAAAGUGUAUAAAAUCGAUGAGCACCGAAUUAUUGCUGAAACGCAGCAGUAGGCCACGGCAAGUGUCUUGCACGUCAGUGUGUGUGUGUGUGUGUGUGUGUGUGUGUGUGUGUGUGUGUCCGUGUCUGUGAGACUCAACGGGGAGAUAACAAGAUAACUGUGUCUGUCACAUUCACAGAACAGGUGGCGUGCCGCACACAGCGGGUCCAACCCCCAGCCGCGGCCCAGGAGACCAGUUGGCCUGCUUUUGUUCCCGCCGGCGGAAGCCAUUCUCUGGGGAGUAGUCAGGCCUUGGCCCUCAGCUGAUGGAUGUGAGUUCCAGAGAAAGAAAGCAGAGUUUAAUCAUUCACAGCUGAAGCUCCCACAUAAAGUCAGCCCCAUCGGGACGAUGGGAAUCAUACGCACUUGACCGCGGCCCCAUGGUGGGUCCAUGGCUGGAUAACUCAACCCCGCUCUGCUCCCUGACCUCCCUGACACACGGGCCGCCCCUCAGACCAGCAGACCUCAGCAGCCCUGCACCACAGCGCC
ensembl:lncRNA